rfam:Human gut metagenome DNA, contig sequence: F2-W_010317.
UGAUACCAGGGGACAAAGUUUGGAAGACCGACGCAAGCUUGCUUGCAGGAGGACUUGCAAAAUUGGGACCCGCCAAAAACAUGAGUAAGAAGCCAUUUUUGUUAAAAAAUGAGCGGAUUACGAAUGUUUUCUAGGAUUGCGGGAGCACACAGUGCGGAGCAAUCGACGAAUCA